rnacentral:rRNA from 1 species
AGUGAACGCUGGCGGCAGGCCUAACACAUGCAAGUCGAACGGCAGCACAGUAAGAGCCUGCUCUUACGGGUGGCGAGUGGCGGACGGGUGAGGAAUACAUCGGAAUCUACUUUUUCGUGGGGGAUAACGUAGGGAAACCUACGAUAAUAUCGCAUACGACUUACGGGUGAAAGCAGGGGAUCUUCGGACCUUGUGCGAUUGAAUGAGCCGAUGUCGGAUUAGCUAGUUGGCGGGGUAAAGGCCCACCAAGGCGACGAUCCGUAGCUGGUCUGAGAGGAUGAUCAGCCACACUGGAACUGAGACACGGUCCAGACUCCUGCGGGAGGCAGCAGUGGGGAAUAUUGGACAAUGGGCGCAAGCCUGAUCCAGCCAUACCGCGUGGGUGAAGAAGGCCUUCGGGUUGUAAAGCCCUUUUGUUGGGAAAGAAAAGCAGCAGGUUAAUACCCCGCUGUUCUGACGGUACCCAAAGAAUAAGCACCGGCUAACUUCGUG